rnacentral:rRNA from 1 species
GACGAACGCUGGCGGCGUGCUUAACACAUGCAUUUCGAACGGAAAGGCCCUGCUUUUGUGGGGUGCUCGAGUGGCGAACGGGUGAGUAACACGUGAGUAACCUGCCCUUGACUUUGGGAUAACUUCAGGAAACUGGGGCUAAUACCGGAUAGGAGCUCCUGCUGCAUGGUGGGGGUUGGAAAGUUUCGGCGGUUGGGGAUGGACUCGCGGCUUAUCAGCUUGUUGGUGGGGUAGUGGCUUACCAAGGCUUUGACGGGUAGCCGGCCUGAGAGGGUGACCGGCCACAUUGGGACUGAGAUACGGCCCAGACUCCUACGGGAGGCAGCAGUGGGGAAUAUUGCACAAUGGGCGGAAGCCUGAUGCAGCAACGCCGCGUGCGGGAUGACGGCCUUCGGGUUGUAAACCGCUUUCGCCUGUGACGAAGCGUGAGUGACGGUAAUGGGUAAAGAAGCACCGGCUAACUACGUGCCAGCAGCCGCGGUGAUACGUAGGGUGCGAGCGUUGUCCGGAUUUAUUGGGCGUAAAGGGCUCGUAGGUGGUUGAUCGCGUCGGAAGUGUAAUCUUGGGGCUUAACCCUGAGCGUGCUUUCGAUACGGGUUGACUUGAGGAAGGUAGGGGAGAAUGGAAUUCCUGGUGGAGCGGUGGAAUGCGCAGAUAUCAGGAGGAACACCAGUGGCGAAGGCGGUUCUCUGGGCCUUUCCUGACGCUGAGGAGCGAAAGCGUGGGGAGCGAACAGGCUUAGAUACCCUGGUAGUCCACGCUGUAAACGGUGGGUACUAGGUGUGGGGUCCAUUCCACGGGUUCCGUGCCGUAGCUAACGCUUUAAGUACCCCGCCUGGGGAGUACGGCCGCAAGGCUAAAACCCAAAGGAAUUGACGGGGCCCCGCACAAGCGGCGGAGCAUGCGGAUUAAUUCGAUGCAACGCGUAGAACCUUACCUGGGUUUGACAUGGAUCGGGAGUGCUCAGAGAUGGGUGUGCCUCUUUUGGGGUCGGUUCACAGGUGGUGCAUGCCUGUCGUCAGCUCGUGUCGUGAGAUGUUGGGUUAAGUCCCGCAACGAGCGCAACCCUUGUUCACUGUUGCCAGCACGUUAUGGUGGGGACUCAGUGGAGACCGCCGGGGUCAACUCGGAGGAAGGUGGGGAUGACGUCAAGUCAUCAUGCCCCUUAUGUCCAGGGCUUCACGCAUGCUACAAUGGCUGGUACAGAGAGUGGCGAGCCUGUGAGGGUGAGCGAAUCUCGGAAAGCCGGUCUCAGUUCGGAUUGGGGUCUGCAACUCGACCUCAUGAAGUCGGAGUCGCUAGUAAUCGCAGAUCAGCAACGCUGCGGUGAAUACGUUCCCGGG